AUCAGUGCUGGAGCCGUAAGGCCAGGAACUUGCAGGGCUGUGUGCUGCAGAACAGCUGGGGCCAUAUGCUGCCCUGUGCCUUGGGUCUCCUAGCAGAAGACAUAUCUGGAACAUGCAACAUGGUUUGGAAAGACUGGAUAAACCUCAAGACAUUGAUUGCCAAGACCUAACAGGCCAUGUGUUGUUGAACACUACAGAAAAACAAUUACUGUAUGUUCAGGGAAGAAAGGCACACGCACAAUUCUUCAGGAGCAAGCAAAGAGAAAGGCUGGCCACUGUGGGGACACCUGCAGAUGUCUGCUUUCAAUGUGAUUUUGACCUGGACCCUGGCUUGAGGUAAAGAAGCACUGCUGUCCGAGGCUUCUGCUGAGUGUUACCAUCGUGUUGGCAGCAUGACUGCAACCUGCUUUUAUGGAGGGGGAAAAUGCUAUUGUGGCUAAGAUUUUGUUUUCUUUAUACUAUCCUUUAUGUUUUUAAAGCACUCUUUCUCAACUAAAUUUUAGGACAUUUAAUU